GGCUCAGUGAUUGUUGCCAAUCAUAUUUGGUCAUAUACGCUAUUCCGAUUUCUAUUGGUGGAAAAGAAAAAUUUAUGAGAGCU
rnacentral:snoRNA from 10 species